GACGAACGCUGGCGGCGUGCUUAACACAUGCAAGUCGAACGGAAAGGCCCUGCUUUUGUGGGGUGCUCGAGUGGCGAACGGGUGAGUAACACGUGAGUAACCUGCCCUUGACUUUGGGAUAACUUCAGGAAACUGGGGCUAAUACCGGAUAGGAGCUCCUGCUGCAUGGUGGGGGUUGGAAAGUUUCGGCGGUUGGGGAUGGACUCGCGGCUUAUCAGCUUGUUGGUGGGGUAGUGGCUUACCAAGGCUUUGACGGGUAGCCGGCCUGAGAGGGUGACCGGCCACAUUGGGACUGAGAUACGGCCCAGACUCCUACGGGAGGCAGCAGUGGGGAAUAUUGCACAAUGGGCGGAAGCCUGAUGCAGCAACGCCGCGCGCGGGAUGACGGCCUUCGGGUUGUAAACCGCUUUCGCCUGUGACGAAGCGGGAGUGACGGUAAUGGGUAAAGAAGCACCGGCUAACUACGUG
rnacentral:rRNA from 1 species